rnacentral:rRNA from 1 species
AGUGAACGCUGGCGGUGGGCCUAACACAUGCAAGUCGAAUGGCAGCACAGUAAGAGCUUGCUCUUACGGGUGGCGAGUGGCGGACGGGUGAGGAAUACAUCGGAAUCUACUUUUUCGUGGGGGAUAACGUAGGGAAACUUACGCUAAUACCGCAUACGACCUACGGGUGAAAGCAGGGGAUCUUCGGACCUUGCGCGAUUGAAUGAGCCGAUGUCGGAUUAGCUAGUUGGCGGGGUAAAGGCCCACCAAGGCGACGAUCCGUAGCUGGUCUGAGAGGAUGAUCAGCCACACUGGAACUGAGACACGGUCCAGACUCCUACGGGAGGCAGCAGUGGGGAAUAUUGGACAAUGGGCGCAAGCCUGAUCCAGCUAUACCGCGUGGGUGAAGAAGGCCUUCGGGUUGUAAAGCCCUUUUGUUGGGAAAGAAAAGCAGCAGGUUAAUACCCCGCUGUUCUGACGGUACCCAAAGAAUAAGCACCGGCUAACUUCGUG